rnacentral:rRNA from 1 species
UACGGAGGGUGCAAGCGUUGUUCGGAAUUACUGGGCGUAAAGCGCGUGUAGGUGGUUGAAGUAGUCGGGUGUGAAAGCCCUCCGCUUAACGGGGGAAAUGCGCUCGAAACCAUUCAACUUGAGUGUAAGAGGGGCUCGUGGAAUUCUUGGUGUAGCAGUGAAAUGCGUAGAUACCAAGAAGAACACCGGUGGCGAAAGCGACGAGCUGGAUUACUACUGACACUGAGACGCGAAAGCGCGGGGAGCAAACAGG